GAUUAAGUUAUUAAGGGCGCACGGUGGAUGCCUUGGCACUAGAAGCCGAUGAAGGACGUUACUAACGACGAUAUGCUUUGGGGAGCUGUAAGUAAGCUUUGAUCCAGAGAUUUCCGAAUGGGGAAACCCAGCAUGAGUUAUGUCAUGUUAUCGAUAUGUGAAUACAUAGCAUAUCAGAAGGCACACCCGGAGAACUGAAACAUCUUAGUACCCGGAGGAAGAGAAAGAAAAUUCGAUUCCCUUAGUAGCGGCGAGCGAAACGGGAAGAGCCCAAACCAACAAGCUUGCUUGUUGGGGUUGUAGGACACUCUAUACGGAGUUACAAAGGACGACAUUAGACGAAUCAUCUGGAAAGAUGAAUCAAAGAAGGUAAUAAUCCUGUAGUCGAAAAUGUUGUCUCUCUUGAGUGGAUCCUGAGUACGACGGAGCACGUGAAAUUCCGUCGGAAUCUGGGAGGACCAUCUCCUAAGGCUAAAUACUCUCUAGUGACCGAUAGUGAACCAGUACCGUGAGGGAAAGGUGAAAAGCACCCCGGAAGGGGAGUGAAAUAGAACCUGAAACCGUGUGCUUACAAGUAGUCAGAGCCCGUUAAUGGGUGAUGGCGUGCCUUUUGUAGAAUGAACCGGCGAGUUACGAUUUGAUGCAAGGUUAAGCAGUAAAUGUGGAGCCGUAGCGAAAGCGAGUCUGAAUAGGGCGUUUAGUAUUUGGUCGUAGACCCGAAACCAGGUGAUCUACCCUUGGUCAGGUUGAAGUUCAGGUAACACUGAAUGGAGGACCGAACCGACUUACGUUGAAAAGUGAGCGGAUGAACUGAGGGUAGCGGAGAAAUUCCAAUCGAACCUGGAGAUAGCUGGUUCUCUCCGAAAUAGCUUUAGGGCUAGCCUCAAGUGAUGAUUAUUGGAGGUAGAGCACUGUUUGGACGAGGGGCCCCUCUCGGGUUACCGAAUUCAGGCAAACUCCGAAUGCCAAUUAAUUUAACUUGGGAGUCAGAACAUGGGUGAUAAGGUCCGUGUUCGAAAGGGAAACAGCCCAGACCACCAGCUAAGGUCCCAAAAUAUAUGUUAAGUGGAAAAGGAUGUGGCGUUGCCCAGACAACUAGGAUGUUGGCUUAGAAGCAGCCAUCAUUUAAAGAGUGCGUAAUAGCUCACUAGUCGAGUGACACUGCGCCGAAAAUGUACCGGGGCUAAACAUAUUACCGAAGCUGUGGAUUGUCCUUUGGACAAUGGUAGGAGAGCGUUCUAAGGGCGUUGAAGCAUGAUCGUAAGGACAUGUGGAGCGCUUAGAAGUGAGAAUGCCGGUGUGAGUAGCGAAAGACGGGUGAGAAUCCCGUCCACCGAUUGACUAAGGUUUCCAGAGGAAGGCUCGUCCGCUCUGGGUUAGUCGGGUCCUAAGCUGAGGCCGACAGGCGUAGGCGAUGGAUAACAGGUUGAUAUUCCUGUACCACCUAUAAUCGUUUUAAUCGAUGGGGGGACGCAGUAGGAUAGGCGAAGCGUGCGAUUGGAUUGCACGUCUAAGCAGUAAGGCUGAGUAUUAGGCAAAUCCGGUACUCGUUAAGGCUGAGCUGUGAUGGGGAGAAGACAUUGUGUCUUCGAGUCGUUGAUUUCACACUGCCGAGAAAAGCCUCUAGAUAGAAAAUAGGUGCCCGUACCGCAAACCGACACAGGUAGUCAAGAUGAGAAUUCUAAGGUGAGCGAGCGAACUCUCGUUAAGGAACUCGGCAAAAUGACCCCGUAACUUCGGGAGAAGGGGUGCUCUUUAGGGUUAACGCCCAGAAGAGCCGCAGUGAAUAGGCCCAAGCGACUGUUUAUCAAAAACACAGGUCUCUGCUAAACCGUAAGGUGAUGUAUAGGGGCUGACGCCUGCCCGGUGCUGGAAGGUUAAGAGGAGUGGUUAGCUUCUGCGAAGCUACGAAUCGAAGCCCCAGUAAACGGCGGCCGUAACUAUAACGGUCCUAAGGUAGCGAAAUUCCUUGUCGGGUAAGUUCCGACCCGCACGAAAGGCGUAACGAUUUGGGCACUGUCUCAACGAGAGACUCGGUGAAAUCAUAGUACCUGUGAAGAUGCAGGUUACCCGCGACAGGACGGAAAGACCCCGUGGAGCUUUACUGUAGCCUGAUAUUGAAAUUCGGCACAGCUUGUACAGGAUAGGUAGGAGCCUUUGAAACGUGAGCGCUAGCUUACGUGGAGGCGCUGGUGGGAUACUACCCUAGCUGUGUUGGCUUUCUAACCCGCACCACUUAUCGUGGUGGGAGACAGUGUCAGGCGGGCAGUUUGACUGGGGCGGUCGCCUCCUAAAAGGUAACGGAGGCGCUCAAAGGUUCCCUCAGAAUGGUUGGAAAUCAUUCAUAGAGUGUAAAGGCAUAAGGGAGCUUGACUGCGAGACCUACAAGUCGAGCAGGGUCGAAAGACGGACUUAGUGAUCCGGUGGUUCCGCAUGGAAGGGCCAUCGCUCAACGGAUAAAAGCUACCCCGGGGAUAACAGGCUUAUCUCCCCCAAGAGUUCACAUCGACGGGGAGGUUUGGCACCUCGAUGUCGGCUCAUCGCAUCCUGGGGCUGUAGUCGGUCCCAAGGGUUGGGCUGUUCGCCCAUUAAAGCGGUACGCGAGCUGGGUUCAGAACGUCGUGAGACAGUUCGGUCCCUAUCCGUCGUGGGCGUAGGAAAUUUGAGAGGAGCUGUCCUUAGUACGAGAGGACCGGGAUGGACAUACCUCUGGUGUACCAGUUGUCGUGCCAACGGCAUAGCUGGGUAGCUAUGUGUGGACGGGAUAAGUGCUGAAAGCAUCUAAGCAUGAAGCCCCCCUC
rnacentral:rRNA from 1 species